CCUGCUAACAAGAACAAAAGUCAAACUCUUCAGAUGUUGGAAAGAAAUAUGCAGAAAAGGAACAUUUCUACCACACAAAAUUUCAAAAUGUAGUGGGCACAGGGAAUGGAACUUAUAAGGAUGUAGAGCAUGAAAGGAAUUUGAAAAACUAGAAUGAUGACUAGUCCAGCGGGGAAUGCCUGUGAAUUAUCUCUUACUCCUAGGACGAUGAUGGCAGGUAUCCUUGGUGGCCAGUGACUCGGGAAAGCUUAGAAGCUGCAGAAAGCAGGGUUCAAGUGCUCCCUGAGGGCAUGGCUUGUAGUUUUCCACCCGUUAUGGAAUCAAACCUUGAAAGCCAGUGCCCAAGCUGAGCCCACUGCACCGCCCCACCAGAGAGAAAGAAGAGCUCUGUGCUAGGUCUUAGAUUUCAAGAGCAAGCAAGACAGACAUGGCCCCUUCCUUCCUGGACCUGACAGUUGCUCCUACUCGUCAUUUCCACCUAUGUAUUGCCUAGAAGCUGGGGACUGGAUCCCAUGGCCAUAACAAAGCCCAAAAGUAGGGAGAGGACUGACCUGCAGCCGUAUAGGACAAGGGGCCAAAGCCAUUAAAUGGGUCUGUCCAUGAGAGCACUUCUUGUGAAUACUUUGACCUUUUUCCUUGUAUUCUCUUGGACUUAUGGUUACAGUUAUGUUUAGCCAAGAGUUUUGGUUGUUAUUGUUUUGGUUUGCUUAUCUUUUAAAUUUCCCAUUACACAGUAGGAUCUCUUUACCUACCACCAACUUGUCAGCAAAUUUGAUGUAUCAGGAUAACUUUACAUGAUAAUGUUGCAAAGAAUAAAUGGAUGGAGAAUUUUUUUAAAAAGUGUGGCCUGUCCUAUAUUUACCCCUCUGCUGAAUUCCAGCAUGACUUUGAAGAGGCAGUGUCCAUGUGUUCCAAGUGGUGAUUGGCAGCAAAGAAAGGUUU